rnacentral:misc_RNA from 1 species
GAUGAAGAACGCAGCGAAAUGCGAUAAGUAGUGUGAAUUGCAGAAUUCAGUGAAUCAUCGAAUCUUUGAACGCACAUUGCGCCCCUUGGUAUCCCGAGGGGCAUGCCUGUUCGAGCGUCAUUUCACCACUCAAGCCUGGCUUGGUGUUGGGCGACGUCCCCUUUAGGGACGCGCCUCGAAACGCUCGGCGGCGUGGCACCGGCUUUAAGCGUAGCAGAAUCUUUCGCUUUGGAAGUCGGGGCCCCGCCUGCCGGAAUACCUACUCGUAAGGUUGACCUCGGAUCAGGCAGGGAUACCCGCUGAACUUAAGCAUAUCAAUAGCGGAGGA